UUUUGAACGGGUCUAAACAAAGAGUUAGAUGAUAACUCAAAAAAAAUUGACUUGCUUUAUUUUAAAAAAUUAGGUAGAUAAUACCCGCCAAUAAUAACAGACCGGCAUCGAUUCAUAUGUAACUUGAUCAAACAACAUACAAAAGAAAAAGUGUCCAUCCAUAUGAGGUUACAAAAUACAAUUGGAAAUAUAUCCCCCAAAUUCCCAUUUCUUGAAAACCCUAAAUCCCAAAUUGAAACCUUAAAUUGUUUCAAAUUUCAAAUUCAAUCUACUAGAAAAUCAACACCGACUUCAAUUGCUGCUAAAGGGCGUCAAUUAAUGGCGGCAGUGGCUGGUGUUUAUAGGAGGGCGCUUCCUUCGCCACCAGCAAUUGACUUUGCUUCUUCGGAAGGCAAGCAACUCUUUGCUGAAGCUCUGCUGGAGGGAAACAUGGAAGGCUUCUUUAAGUUGGUUUCAUAUUACCAGACUCAAUCAGAACCAGCAUAUUGUGGGCUAGCUGCUCUUGCCGUGGUCUUAAAUGCACUAGCAAUUGACCCUGGAAGAGAGUGGAAAGGUCCAUGGAGAUGGUUUGAUGAUACUAUGCUGGAUUGUUGUGAGCCUCUUGAGAAGGUUAAGGUUAGUGGUAUCUCAUUUUGCAAAGUAGCUUGUUUGGCUCAUUGUAAUGGAGCAGAAGUUGAAGCAUUUCGUACAAAUGAGAGCACCAUGGACAACUUCCGAAACUAUGUAAUCUCAUGUGCUUCUUCUGAGGAUUGUCACAUGAUUGUAUCAUACCACAGAGCAUAUCUAAAGCAGACAGGAAGUGGUCAUUUUUCGCCAAUUGGUGGUUAUCAUGCUGGUAAAGAUAUGGUUCUCAUUUUGGAUGUUGCUCGAUUCAAGUACCCUCCUCACUGGGUACCCCUCACACUUCUUUGGGAUGCUAUGAACACAAUUGAUGAAGCUACUGGACUUUACAGGGGGUUUAUUCUUCUAUCGAAGCUUCAAAGGGCACCUUCAAUUCUUUAUACUCUGAGUUGUCGUCAUGAUGGCUGGGACACUACUGCUAAAUACUUGACUAAAAAGAUUCCACAACUUCUGUCUUCUGAAGAAAUUAGUAACAUUCAGGAUAUGCUAUCUGUGAUCUUUAUAUCAGCUCCUGCAAACCUGUGUGAGCUCCUCAAUUGGGUUGCUGAAGUUCGAAAACAGGAGGAUGGGAUUAAACUUGUCAGUGAAGAGGAAAGGAGCAGACUGGUGAUCAAGGAAGAGGUGUUGAAGCAAGUGCGAGAUACUGAACUAUUUAAACACAUUACGAGAUGGCUUUUAUCUGGAUCAUCUUGCAUGCACAAUGCAAUUUUUGAUGGUCAUGAUUCUUUAGACAAAAUUGCUUCUGAAGUGUGCUGUCAAGGUGCUCAAGUUUUGUGUGGCAAGGUUGGUUCUUGGAGUGCAACUUGCUCUAAAACAACAAAAUUGAGAUCCUCAGACUUUGACAAUGCUGAGUCUAUGACUGUAGUUUCUGGCAAAGUGAUUGUGAGAGAUUAUGAGUGUGGAGUAGAAAUGUUGGUCCCGUGCUGUCAAAGGAAGUCUGGUAGCCCAUCUGAUUGUGCUUCAAAUACUUCUAAUAGGGAAAGCCCUUCAGUGUUUGAUGUUCUAACCGUAUUAAUAUUAACCUUGCCUCCUGAUACGUGGCAUUCUCUUAAAGAUGAAAGACUCCGAGAAGAUUUUUGUGGUAUAGUAUCCACCAACAAUCUCCCAUGCUUACUACAACAAGAGGUAAGCCUUGAUUGUUAUCAAUAGAAAAGAAAUAUACCUUUGUUGAAGCUGGACAUGUCCCCUUCUCAGAUCCAUCUUCUCCCACUCGUACUCUGCAAAAUUAUAUAUUGCAUUUAGGAAAGCAGCUACAUUUUCUUUGUCGCUGAUGUCUGCUAUUCUUCAGCAUGAUAUGACUGACAACUACUGGUGCUUCUUUCUAAUUACCAUCUAAAACAACUGUUAGUUUGCUCGAAAAGGAGAGGUUUGAUGAAUUCUGCCUUUUUCGAAGUUGCUGAAUACUGAUAUGUAUGAUCAUUCUCCAAUCACAUAAAUUAGCAGAUGAGAAAAUUCUGUGCGAAGUACAAGACAUUGGUACAGAAAAUGUUAAAUUAGUAAUCACUCCUGUUUUUCUUACUGGCACUUGUCAGCUUUGUUGAUGAAUGCAGUGAAAUUCAUUUAUCUUGCCAGCAGAUGAGCUUCCGUGGGUCUGAGCAUGUUGUAGUAUGAAAAUAGAAUUCUAGUUCUAUGGAAAAUUCUAAAGCUCAUAACAAUUUAUCUACCUUUAGAAAGAUCAAGCGGUAAUAGCAAUGUUUCAUCUAAUUGAUCCGGACUUUUCAGUUGCUGGCAUUAGAAUGAGCUUGUUCAUGCUCAUGAGAGUACCUGUAAUCCCUGUUCCCUUGUCAUGUGCUCAUACUGUCGAAUGCACCUUACAUGC